rnacentral:rRNA from 1 species
GAUGAACGCUGGCGGCGUGCCUAAUACAUGCAAGUCGAACGAGCGAGACCAAGCUUGCUUGGUUAAGCUAGUGGCGAACGGGUGAGUAAUACGUAAGCAACCUGCCUACAAGGACUGGGAUAACACCUGGAAACGGGCGCUAAUACCGGAUAGGUAACGGGAGGGCAUCCUCCUGUUAUUAAAGGUUUGAAACACAAGUAGAUGGGCUUACGGUGCAUUAGCUAGUUGGUGAGGUAACGGCCCACCAAGGCGAUGAUGCAUAGCCGGCCUGAGAGGGUGAACGGCCACAUUGGGACUGAGACACGGCCCAGACUCC